rnacentral:rRNA from 1 species
AUUGAACGCUGGCGGCAUGCCUUACACAUGCAAGUCGAACGGCAGCACGGGAGCAAUCCUGGUGGCGAGUGGCGAACGGGUGAGUAAUAUAUCGGAACGUACCCAGUCGUGGGGAUAACGUAGCGAAAGCUACGCUAAUACCGCAUACGAUCUAUGGAUGAAAGCGGGGGAUCGCAAGACCUCGCGCGAUUGGAGCGGCCGAUAUCAGAUUAGGUAGUUGGUGAGGUAAAGGCUCACCAAGCCGACGAUCUGUAGCUGGUCUGAGAGGACGACCAGCCACACUGGGACUGAGACACGGCCCAGACUCCUACGGGAGGCAGCAGUGGGGAAUUUUGGACAAUGGGCGCAAGCCUGAUCCAGCAAUGCCGCGUGCAGGAUGAAGGCC